CCUACGGUAGGCAGCAGUGAGGAAUAUUGGUCAAUGGACGAGAGUCUGAACCAGCCAAGUAGCGUGAAGGAUGACUGCCCUAUGGGUUGUAAACUUCUUUUAUAAAGGAAUAAAACGAGGCACGUGUGCCUUUUUGCAUGUACUUUAUGAAUAAGGAUCGGCUAACUCCUUGCCAGCAGCCGCGGUAAUACGGAGGAUCCGAGCGUUAUCCGGAUUUAUUGGGUUUAAAGGGAGCGUAGAUGGGUUGUUAAGUCAGUUGUGAAAGUUUGCGGCUCAACCGUAAAAUUGCAAUUGAUACUGGCAGUCUUGAGUACAGUUGAGGGAGGCGGAAUUCGUGGUGUAGCGGUGAAAUGCUUAGAUAUCACGAAGAACCCCGAUUGCGAAGGCAGCUUACUAAACUGUGACUGACAUUGAUGCUCGAAAGUGUGGGUAUCAAACAGGAUUAGAUACCCUUGUAGUC
rnacentral:rRNA from 1 species